AGAAACUUGGUGUUUUCCCGCCAGAACGCCGCCGCUGUUAAGCUCCAGUGUGACGUAAAGCUCAGGCUGCCUGUGACCGCAUAACAGCUGCUGAAUAAAUCUGCUCAGGUUCCCUUUUUUAAAGACUGGAGUGCGAGUCAGUGUUUGGAUGGACCUCCUGUCAGGUACUCCUCAACACCCCUUCCCCCUGCCCCAUCUGUUCAGAGAGAAGAAACCUGUAAUCUCACAGCACAGCCGGAUAAUUCUUGUGUUAACAAAAACAAAAAACUAUGAUGUGCUUUGGAAAAAACCUAACAACAAGAAAUGCAAUAAAAGAAGGAUAAAUACUGACGGUGCUUUUCCAAGAUGGAGAUGUAAUUUAUUUCUGGUGAAGGGGUUGAAGCUGGACACAGAAUCGGCGAUGUUGCCCCUGGACAGGACCUGUCUGACUAGAUUUGGGGCUUCAUUUGGGCAGACCUUUCAGAUCUUGUUGAGGAAUAUAUUCUGGCUAGUAGCACUCAGAGUCCAUUCACCAAUGGGAGACCAAGGCGAAAAUGGUUUUACUGUUUUAUGCAAGAUCAUCCUGAGCUGACCAUUCGCAACUCAGAACAGUUUCGUGUGGCUAGAGCGAGGACCUCAGCUGAUACUGGCAUAUUCCCCCACUGGUUUGAGAUGCGCAAAAAGGAAUUGGAUCUUGCAGAUAUCAUAACAAAACCCCAAAAUAUCUACAAUGUAGAUGAGAUAGGCUUUGUCACUGAUGCAUCCUCAGAAAAUGUCCUGGUUUCAAAGGGAUAUGAGAAUGUGUACCAGAGUACCAGUGGAAGAGAAUAGAUAACUGUCUGUAUCACUUGAAAUGCUGCUGGGCAGAUCUUGCCCCCAUACGAUGCCAAGUGGAAACAUUUGUACAGUUCUUGGUGUCAAGGUGGUCUAGACUGCACCUGCUUUGCCAUGACAGCCCAUGGCUGGAUGGAGAAACCUCUUCCUAAAAGAAGCUGAAUUUUAAUAUUUGAUGGCCAUAUCUCCCGUGUGUUCCCGAGCCUUGCCGUGAAGGCAAAAGAAAAUAACGUAGUGCUCCUUUGUCUCCCCUCUCACCUGAUGCAUGUGCUGUGCUCUUUGGAUAAGCCAGUGUUCAGGGAAAUUAAUUGUUUGAAAACAAUAAAAUUUUAUGUCAAUAAAUCCUAAUGUGGGUUUAUCUGGAACACACACAGGCUUAAAUGGUGCCACAGUACCAGUUAAGC